UAAUAGCGUAUAAGUCGCGUAAUAGAAAAAGCACCUCGUUUAUUUAGCGAAAUUGUUACGGUCCUAAUUGUAUUCUUUUCACCGAAAUCAAACAGAGAGCGUGCGAUGUUCAAUUCGGUUCACAUUUCAAUUCCACCACGAAUCAUAUUUUCCAACUCUUUAGCCAUAUUGUUUAAUUGGGCAGGGUGGGAACAAAAACGUGGAUUUGGUGAUAUACAACAGAAAAAUGUACUUAUUUGUAAAGCAGCUCUAUUCUGGACGAGAACCUGCAUCAACCAGUGACAGCAUCAUUACAAUCCCGACGCAAAGUUGACUACAGCUGCUCCUUCCCCUGAUUUUAAAUAGGCAUUGAAAAAAAAUCCUGAAUGUUCCGGAUGGAAUUUGUAAUUAUGAGGCCCUUUAUAUAAUUAUUCGGACCUUCAAUUUGAUUAAAUAUACAAUCUAAUAAGCCCAUGUGAUGCAUUUAUUAUAAACGUUUAUUAAGUACACUGUUGACGAAUUU